AGAGAGAGAGAGAGAGAGAGAGAGAGAGAGAGAGCUUCAGAUUGAGAGUGCCAGAACGAUCUAGAAAGAUUUGAUCCAUUAUCGUUGCAGGCAGAAAGAGAGAGAUCACAGGUCCAACUAAAUAAGUUGGGAGAUCAGCUUGGUUUAGAUGCUUAUGGAAUUCAUGCCAAUGAAGAGGAUUCAAGCAUUAAUAUUGUCAGCGACAGGGAAACUCAUUUUCCAAUCCCCUUAAAUAAGGAGCAGCUAAAUGAUGUUUCUCCGAGCAAGAAAAGGCUCGAUGUAAAUAGGAAUUCUGCCAAGGAACCAAAACGAGGUGGUGUGGGAUAAUAUUGAAGCUACUGUAAAGAGAAUCUACAGAUGCUUGGUUCAAUGAUAUGUCAUCUUGGCAGAUUUGUGCAGAUAAUCGGAGUACUGUGUGCCCAAAUGAAAGGGCAAGCUGUGGCUAUUGUGGCAGCAGUAACCUUACAUGGAAGGUGCCUGCCUUUGCUUCAAACUUUGGAAGAACUGAUGGUUGCUGAGGUCUAUAUAGUGAAUCAUUGUGAUUUGGCUGGUUAAGGCUGCAGUCCAUACAGAUAAUGGGCAAAGCUUCGGCUUUAUUAGUAGCAGUACCACAUGGGUAGGCGUGUGGGGCUAAAUAGUACCACAUGCUUAGAGUUCAUAUGGAACGAGGAAUGCUAACAUUGUUAGCAGUAAGCAUUCCCUUGGCCUUCAUUUGGUUUUACACAAGCCAAAGUUUAAGAAUCUCAGAGCCAACGGUUGCCAACUUCUACGAGUUGAUCUUUUUUGAGACUCAAGGUUGUUCAUGAAAUCUUUUUUCAUCUUAUUUAUGGUUUACAAUUGCUUAACUGUGCUCAAUUGAUGCCAAAAAAAGGUUAAAAAGCAGAACAGAGUUGUUUAGCACUGAGACAAAAAACCUCACAGUUAGCGCCGAACCAGCAAUGUCAUCAACAGACGCUCCACAACUCAACAAGCAGAAAACUGACUGCAGCAGCUUAUCAUUGCAACUCUUGCACCACUUUUUGUAUAGAUAGAAAUGGAGCAAGCAAUUUUUUUCAUAGGCUAACACCUUUUCUAUAUAUAUACCUGGACCAACUAGACCAACUAUUUUUUUGGAAAAUGUUCCAGCAACAACUAACUUCAAACUUAGAUAGCCUAUUUGUUGAACAGUCCACUAUGAUAAGGUCAUCUUUUGUUUUAGAUGAUCUGCAGAUGAAAACAGUUCUAUCAUUUAUAUCCUCUCCUUUUAAGUUUAGGGAAAAGAAUUAUGGUUACGAUUCACAUCCCGCAGCAAAGCGCGGGCACUGUU